CAAAGUGUGGGGGUUGGGGAGGGGGUGUUCAGAUAUCAGGGCCGUGGUGGUCGGGAGUCGAACUCGUGGUCUCGAGCUCGUUGCGCGUGCGGUGCGCGAAUCGCCAGCGCCACCGUGACACCCCCACGGUGCAUUACAAGCGCAGACAACAACCGUGCGUGCAACAUCGGUCCAGAGCGCGCAUGGCCAUCGAUAGCGGCCGCACAUCUAAAGGCUGUACAACACACAGUGGGGCAGUUGAUUCGUUCUGGCACCCUCGAGACGUUGAUGGGCAAGUGCUGCAUACUCUAUGUGUGUACUCUACCUCCAUUUGAACGUACUCGAUCUCAUCUGUACACGUGGAGUAGUUGCGCAGCGGUUAGCGCACUGUGCCGGUGUGAAGCCGAUCAGCUGAGUUCGCUUCCCGUGCGCGGUGAAAGUGGAUACGAUUUAGGGUGGACCAUGAGCUUCCUGAAAGAUCAAACCAGCGUGGUGAGCACGCGAGUACUCGAGGCGCCUUUGAUGCUCCCUGGGCUGCAACUCUUGCACAGGCUGAAUUUUACGUGGAAAAAGAUGCAAGUCCUCUACCCAAGACUCACCACAGCGAAACGUCGUGCGCUCCCCAAUUCAGCGGCGGAGCCUCUCAUCCUCGUCGAAGAUUGGGGGUUCUCAUUGACGCUCUCACUUAACUCGCUCAAUAGAAGUCGGAGAUAGACCGGUUCGAGGUCUGCCGACACAACGCUUUGCAUCCACUGUUGGUCCGGGAAAUCAAUGCCCGAAUAUGGUGCGGAGUUGGAGCCGUUCUGAUCUUAAAAUAUCUGCGAUCGUCUCUCCGUGUUGAGAUUAUUAAACAAUAUUUGAACAAUGUCAACUAUUUUUGGAGGCUGCUGAGGUGUAUACCGGUUCAUCAUAAACUCCCAGGAUUCUACUUUAUACCUGCUAAAAUAUAUUUUUUGUAACAAAAUCAUGAACACAAAAUACCGCUGUUUCAAAUCAGGCAGUUGCUUGUGGCCCACUCUGUACGUGUACACAUACAUGUACACGUGUGUGUUAGUAGCGCAGUGGUGAAUAAUACACUGCGCUACGAAUCCCACUCCCCGAGUUCUUAGCCACGGCUAAUAUCACUGGCGAUUAUUUGGAGGGACCCUGGACCUCCCCCUAGGUUAGUUCAGCAUGAAAUGAGUACCUGGUGCGGUGUGUGCUUGUCAGCACACGUGGUUCUGGUCACAUCAAACCCCUCUGUGUGCCGUUCCGGGCAUUUCAUAGGUGCUUGGAAACAUCACUUGCCCCAUAGCGGUGUGUAACUUCCACAUGGUGAUCUGUAUGUGUGUACUUAGUAUCCGGUGCAGACUUGGGACUUGGGAAAGGGCCUUCAUCCAGCAGUGGAUAUAUCAUGACUAAUGAUGAUGUCGACGUGGUUGUUACAAACCCCAGCUGUGGCUCCCCCCGCUGAGCACACAUUAAAUGAAAUUAAACUAUUACAAUGUUUUAUUUAGCCAGGUAAGGCCCACUGAGCUAUACAG